rnacentral:rRNA from 1 species
CUGCUGCCUUCCGUAGGAGUCUGGGCCGUGUCUCAGUCCCAAUGUGGCCGGCCAACCUCUCAGUCCGGCUACUGAUCGUCGCCUUGGUGGGCCGUUACCCCGCCAACUAGCUAAUCAGACGCGAGUCCAUCUCAGAGCGAUAAAUCUUUGAUGCCCAGUGCCAUGCGACACAGACAUAUUAUGCGGUAUUAGCAGCUGUUUCCAACUGUUACUUCCCCACUCCAAGGCAGGUUACU